UACGUAGGGUGCGAGCGUUAAUCGGAAUUACUGGGCGUAAAGCGUGCGCAGGCGGUUUUGUAAGCCAGAUGUGAAAGCCCCGGGCUUAACCUGGGAAUGGCAUUUGGGACUGCAAGGCUUGAGUGCGGCAGAGGAGACUGGAAUUCCUGGUGUAGCGGUGAAAUGCGCAGAUAUCAGGAGGAACACCGGUGGCGAAGGCGGGUCUCUGGGCAGUAACUGACGCUGAGGAGCGAAAGCGUGGGGAGCGAACAGG
rnacentral:rRNA from 1 species